CCCAGACUCCUACGGGAGGCAGCAGUGGGGAAUAUUGGGCAAUGGGCGCAAGCCUGACCCAGCAACGCCGCGUGAGUGAAGAAGUCAUUCGUGAUGUAAAGCUCUAUCAGCAGGGAAGAAAAUGACGGUACCUGAGUAAGAAGCCCCGGCUAACUACGUGCCAGCAGCCGCGGUAAUACGUGGGGGGCAAGCGUUAUCCGGAUUUACUGGGUGUAAAGGGAGCGUAGACGGCCAGACAAGUCUGAAGUGAAAAUCCAGCGCUUAACGCUGGAAGUGCUUUGGAAACUGCCGGGCUGGAGUGCAGGAGAGGUAAGUGGAAUUCCUAGUGUAGCGGUGAAAUGCGUAGAUAUUAGGAGGAACACCAGUGGCGAAGGCGGCUUACUGGACUGUAACUGACGUUGAGGCUCGAAAGCGUGGGGAGCAAACAGGAUUAGAUACCCGAGUAGA
rnacentral:rRNA from 1 species